AUUGAACGCUGGCGGCAGGCUUAACACAUGCAAGUCGAGCGAGCGGCGGACGGGUGAGUAAUGUGUGGGAAACUGCCUGAUAGAGGGGGAUAACUCCUGGAAACGGUAGCUAAUACCGCAUACCAUCAGAUGUGCCCAGAUGGGAUUAGCUGGUAGGUGGGGUAAUGGCUCACCUAGGCGACGAUCCCUAGCUGGUCUGAGAGGAUGACCAGCCACACGGGAACUGAGGCACGGUACAGACUCCGACGGGAGGCAGCAGUGGGGAAUAUUGCACAAGGGCCGCAAGCCUGAUGCAGCCAUGCCGCGUGUGUGAAGAAGGCCUGCGGGUUGUAAAGUACUUUCAGGGAGGAGGCGUUACUCGCAGAAGAAGCACCGGCUAACUCCGUGCCAGCAGCCGCGGUAAUAC
rnacentral:rRNA from 1 species